CCUACGGGUUGCAGCAGUGGGGAAUAUUGCACAAUGGGCGCAAGCCUGAUGCAGCCAUGCCGCGUGUAUGAAGAAGGCCUUCGGGUUGUAAAGUACUUUCAGCGGGGAGGAAGGUGUUGUGGUUAAUAACCACAGCAAUUGACGUUACCCGCAGAAGAAGCACCGGCUAACUCCGUGCCAGCAGCCGCGGUAAUACGGAGGGUGCAAGCGUUAAUCGGAAUUACUGGGCGUAAAGCGCACGCAGGCGGUUGAUUGAGUCAGAUGUGAAAUCCCCGGGCUUAACCCGGGAAUUGCAUCUGAUACUGGUCAGCUAGAGUCUUGUAGAGGGGGGUAGAAUUCCAUGUGUAGCGGUGAAAUGCGUAGAGAUGUGGAGGAAUACCGGUGGCGAAGGCGGCCCCCUGGACAAAGACUGACGCUCAGGUGCGAAAGCGUGGGGAGCAAACAGGAUUAGAUACCCGUGUAGUC
rnacentral:rRNA from 1 species